UACGUAGGGUGCAAGCGUUGUCCGGAAUUAUUGGGCGUAAAGAGCUCGUAGGCGGUUUGUCGCGUCUGCUGUGAAAACCCGAGGCUCAACCUCGGGCCUGCAGUGGGUACGGGCAGACUAGAGUGCGGUAGGGGAGAUUGGAAUUCCUGGUGUAGCGGUGGAAUGCGCAGAUAUCGAGGAGGAACACCGAUGGCGAAGGCAGAGUCCUCUGGGACCGUAACUGACGCUGAGGAGACGAAAGCAUGGGGGAGCGAACAGG
rnacentral:rRNA from 1 species